UACGAAGGGGGCUAGCGUUGCUCGGAAUCACUGGGCGUAAAGCGCACGUAGGCGGACUCUUAAGUCGGGGGUGAAAUCCUGGAGCUCAACUCCAGAACUGCCUUCGAUACUGGGAGUCUUCGAGUUCGGGAGAGGUGAGUGGAACUGCGAGUGUAGAGGUGAAAAUUCGUAGAUAUUCGCAAGAACACCAGUGGCGAAGGGCGGCUCACUGGCCCGACUACU
rnacentral:rRNA from 1 species